rnacentral:rRNA from 1 species
AACGAACGCUGGCGGCAUGCCUAACACAUGCAAGUCGAACGAGACCUUCGGGUCUAGUGGCGCACGGGUGCGUAACGCGUGGGAACCUGCCCUUAGGUUCGGAAUAACUCCCCGAAAGGGGUGCUAAUACCGGAUAAUGUCUUCGGACCAAAGAUUUAUCGCCUUUGGAUGGGCCCGCGUUGGAUUAGCUAGUUGGUAGGGUAAAAGCCUACCACGGCGACGAUCCAUAGCUGGUCUGAGAGGAUGAUCAGCCACACUGGGACUGAGACACGGCCCAGACUCCUACGGGAGGCAGCAGUGGGGAAUAUUGGACAAUGGGCGAAAGCCUGAUCCAGCAAUGCCGCGUGAGUGAUGAAGGCCUGAGGGUUGUAAAGCUCUUUUACCCGGGAUGAUAAUGACAGUACCGGGAGAAUAAGCUCCGGCUAACUCCGUG